rnacentral:rRNA from 1 species
UGAGUAACGCGUGAGGAACCUCGCCUUCCAGAGGGGGACGAACAGUUGGAAACGACUGCUAAUACCGCAUGACACAUGACCGUGGCAUCACGGACAUGUCAAAGAUUUAUCGCUGGAAGAUGGCCUCGCGUCUGAUUAGCUGGUAGGCGGGGUAACGGCCCACCUGGGCGACGAUCAGUAGCCGGACUGAGAGGUUGACCGGCCACAUUGGGACUGAGAUACGGCCCAGACUCCUACGGGAGGCAGCAG